rnacentral:rRNA from 1 species
UGAAAUCUCGGGGCUCAACCCCGAAACUGCGUCUGAAACUACAGGUCUAGAAUCUUGGAGGGGGAAGGGGAAUAUCGCAUGUAGGGGUAAAAUCCGUAGAUAUGCGAUGGAACACCAGAGGCGAAGGCGCCUUCCUGGACAAGUAUUGACGCUGAGGCGCGAAAGCGUGGGGAUCAAACAGGAUUAGAUACCCUGGUAGUCCACGCUGUAAACGAUGAAUACUAGGUAUUGGAGGAUUUGACCCCUUCAGUGCCGUAGCUAACGCGUUAAG